GUUCCCUGUGGACCCUGCCCGCUUGUCUCAUUUCGACCCUUUCGCCUUCGCUUUCAUCGCCUAGGGAGCUGGUGGCGAUUUUGCAAUGCGGUAUCCUCUUCCUCAGAUCGGCAACCACCAACGGCUAAUCGGCGGCCUCCUUGUCGUAUCUGCGGCCUCACCUGCGGUAGCACCUGCUGCCCAUUGAUUUUGAGCGCACCAGCGGUCAGUGCACCGAAUCAGUAAGCCGCGGGUUCCUCGCCCCGCACCCACGUCGCCACCCCCUGGAGGUCAGUGCAGUAGAAGAGGAAACUGCCCCCACUAUCGCAUUUAAGAGGCAAUAGCCACCACUGUAGACUGAAUUAUUGCAGAGAUUACUACUGCGUCUAUGCAUUUAAGAGGAAAUAAGAAGGCACGUUCAUGAGAAUAUACAUCCUUUGGUUCACAGAACUUCACAGCGAAGUCAACAUUGUCCAGCCAGAAUAGGGAAAAUGCUGAAUGUAAGCUAGGACCUCAUGUUCUCUUGAAUCAGGCUAUAUAAUCAUUUGUUUGGUUACUUUAAUUCCGGUUGUUUCGUUACUUCAGUUCCAGGUACGCCUCAUCUCCAUUGAUCUGUCUUUACUGCUUGCUUUUCUUUUGUUUUGAUUGAUGCUAACGUGCUUCAAGACUUUGAUAAACAUUAGAAAACGAAUUUCCGUCGUCCAUCCGUACUAGGUUGCACAUUUAGUAUUUCAUCUUAUUUAACGUUGUCCCUUUAGGCUUAGGCAUGUACGUGUAUGAAUCUUUGAAUAUUUUUGCCUACUACUUAAAACCAUCAACAAUCCCUUCUUAAACUGCAACCAAAACCAGAAUGAUAAGCUAUUCUAUAAUCUAAUAUCAUGAUUAGAGUUUAUUUUAUUUUCACCUAAUAAACCAUUGCUACUUCUAAUUUUACUUGAAAUCCCGCAGCAACGCCCGGGGUACCAACUAGUUUUUAUUAUUAUUUUCCUAAUGCUUCACUUUUUUACAGGGAUUGAUUAUUUUGACACUGACAUGAGUGUUGGUUGUUGAUACUAUCACUUAAUACUAUCAUACAGGCGGAUCUAAUUUUUGUACAGGAAGAUAAUGAUGAGCAUGAAGAUAGUUUCGAGGAAAACAAAGGAACGACAUGUUUUUUCUCCACAAGGCUGACACUAAUGUUUCUACCUGUGUCGUGUGAAAUGUGUGCUAUAUGUUGUAUGUGUGGAAUGAGUCUAAAAAUUGCAGAUAGUGAUCUGGACAUAUUUUUGCUCAAAAUUUUUAUGUGUUAAAUCCAUGUAAAAAUUUGAAAACAAGAAGCUUUUAUCAGAUAUAAGAUAUCUUUGUUCCUCUUAUCAGGCUCAAA